CCACAGGUGUCACAUGCCAUUCUUCUGAUUUUCAUGAAUAUCCUCUAAAAGGCAGCUAAGCACUCGCUGUCUUCUUCCUUUUGCCUCAUCAAGCACGGGGGACGCUGGAAGGAAGAGGCUCCAGGGACCUACCUGACUUCCUAUUCAUGCUGAUCCCACUGAGACCCUUAUCAACCCUGACCUGUUCCCCAUGUGCCUCUUGGAUCUGCCUUAUGUUCCAGGACACUCAGUGAUACAGAAUUGAAAAAGAGAAAGACCAGAUUUCCCAUGGAGAUGGAGAAAUUGGAAGCCCAG
rnacentral:lncRNA from 1 species